GACGAACGCUGGCGGCGUGCUUAACACAUGCAAGUCGAACGGAGUGGCGAACGGGCGAGUAACAAGUGGGUGACCUGCCCUGCACUUCGGGAUAAGCCUGGGUAACUGGGUCUAAUACCGGAUAGUGUGGGAUGGGCGCGCGGCCUAUCAGCUUGUUGGUGGGGUAAUGGACUACCAAGGCGGCGACGGGUGGCCGGCCUGAGAGGGUGACAGGCCACAUUGGGACUGGGACACGGCCCAGACUCCUACGGGCGGCAGCAGUGGGGGGUAGUGCACACUGGGCGGAAGGCUGAUGGAGCGACUCCGCGUGGGAGAUGACGGUCUUCGGGUUGUAAACUCCUUUCACCAUAGACGCGGUAGAUGGAGAAGAAGCACCGGCUAACUACGUGCCAGCAGCCGCGGUAAUAC
rnacentral:rRNA from 1 species